CCUUUGAUAGCUCAGCUGGUAGAGCGGAGGACUGUAGAUCCUUAGGUCGCUGGUUCAACUCCGGCUCAAAGGA